GGCGGCGCGCUUAACACAUGCAAGUCGCACGAGAAAGGGGAGCAAUCCCUGAGUACAGUGGCGUACGGGUGAGUAACACGUGGAUCAUCUACCUUUUAGUGGGGAAUACCUCUGGGAAACCGGAGACAAUACCGCAUAAGCUCGUGAGAGGAAAGCAGCAAUGCGCUGAAAGAGGAGUCCGCGGCUGAUUAGCUAGUUGGCGGGGUAAUGGCCCACCAAGGCGAAGAUCGGUAGCCGGCCUGAGAGGGCUCACGGCCACACUGGCACUGAAACACGGGCCAGACUCCUACGGGAGGCAGCAGUGGGGAAUCUUGCACAAUGGAGGCAACUCUGAUGCAGCGACGCCGCGUGAGCGAUGAAGCCCUUCGGGGUGUAAAGCUCUUUCGACGGGAACGAUAAUGACGGUACCCGAAGAAGAAGCUGCGGCUAACUACGUGCCAGCAGCCGCGGUAAUACGUANGCAGCGAGCGUUGUUCGGAAUUACUGGGCGUAAAGAGUGUGUAGGCGGUGUCCUAAGUCUGGUGUGAAAUCUCCCGGCUCAACUGGGA
rnacentral:rRNA from 1 species